rfam:Triticum aestivum genome assembly, contig: Triticum_aestivum_CS42_TGACv1_scaffold_556289_7AL
CUUAUACUCCCUCCGUUCCGAAUUACUUGUCUUAGAUUUGUCUAGAUACGAAGGUAUCUAACACUAAAAUGAGUCUAGAUACAUCUGUAUCUAGACAAAUCCAAGACAAGUAAUUCGGAACAGAGGGAGUAUGUA